UCAAAUUGAAACUUGCUUUAGUUCGAACCAACGUGAUAGAGGUAAGACGUCUACUGCCACAAAAAAACUGCUGAAUCGCUCUUCAUUGUAAAAUAUUACUAUUCUGGGUAAAUUUCAUGUUCGCUAUACCUUCUUUUCUAUAAUUUCGUUGCUUGUGAAUGAUGAGCCUCUUUUUUCUCAGAUGACUUGGAUUUGGUUAUGCUUCUCAAACAAGGGAGGAAGUAGGAGGGUCAAUGCCCUGGUGAGGGCAGACAGUGUAGAGGAGCUAAGGGAGAAAGGAAAAAGUGCGCUUAGACUUCAGGGAGCCGUGGUAGACAUGACUCUUGAGGAUGGCACUGUCAUCAAUAAUGACAGUCAGGUCAUGUUUGCUGCCCUCUCUGAAGAAAUUGAGGUCAAUUUUGAAAUAAUUGAGAUUGAAAGAACUGCAGUACAAAAUUGGAACCUUUUUUUGAAAUUAUAUUUUUACAAUUAGUUUCAAUUUUUUUAAUUAUUUUAAAUCUUCUGUAGCAAAAUUGUAGUAUCUCUGUUGGAAAUUCAUUCUAAAUUUAAACAGUUCCCAAUCAAUAUUCUGAAUACGAUCGUAUCCCAGGCCCAUCCACCCUUGCCCUUAAUUUUCUACAAAAAAUUUUUACGAGGGAAUAUAAAAUUCAAAAUAUCCGUUUUGUCAUUCCCUUUCUCAACUUGGAUGCCUUUCUUUUAAAAAGGGGCAAGGUAUUCUAGACAGAGAGAUAUCUUCAUCAAAAUUGGCUGGACUUGAUUGGACAAAGUGUAAAAGAUUGGGUGUUUUGGUGGGGGUAAGCACAAAUGCUCUGGUAGGUUUUAAGCCCGAAGAGCUAAAUUUAGAGACGUUUUGGACAAGAUCACAGAGUCUGUGGACCCUCCAAACAAAAAACAAAGUUAUUUACCAGACGACACAAGAUAUUGACAGAUCAUAAGGUUACGGUAAAGGUUUUCUGGAAGAGAACAUCAAUUUUUCGAACUUUCCGAACUUUCAAGGCACAUAACGAUACCAAAUUUAAAACUAACAGAAAUUUUAAAAAAUGGAAAAAAAUCUAUGUAAACGAAGGUUGUAAUUUACAUUGAUUCUCAAAUGCGAGGGGGCAAUAUCUAUUGUUGAAAGUAAUGCAUCUUAGACAGCAUGACAGACAUAAAAUAUUACAAGGUUUAAAGGCAAA